CAGUUCUGUUUUUGCAGUGAUUAAGCGCAUAGAAGAUAUUAAUGGCUUUACUUAUCAUCAUCAACUUCCUUUUGUGUCUCCCCUUCUUCCUCUUCUUCUUUGCUUUGCAAAGGCUCAUAACCUCAAGAAAUAAUACUAAAUUACCACCCGGCCCCUGGGGCCUUCCCUUAAUCGGUAACUUACACCAGUUUGAUGUCUCAAAGCCUCAAGUGUCAUUUUGGGAGCUGUCACGGAAAUAUGGCCCCCUCAUGUCCUUGCGUCUUGGUUUUGUGCCAUCCCUAGUAGUUUCCUCAGCAAAACUGGCUAAAGAGAUAUUAAAAACCCAUGACCUUCAAUUUUGUAGCAGGCCAGCCUUGGUAGGACAACAAAAGUUAUCUUACAAUGGUCUUGAUUUGGCGUUUUCACCCUAUGAUGGUUAUUGGAGAGAGAUAAGAAAAAUUUGUGUCAUUCAUCUCUUUAACUCUAACAGGGUAGAAAAUUUUCGACCCAUUAGAGAAGAUGAAGUUUCAAGAAUGAUUGAAAAGAUUUCAAAAUCAGUUGCUGCUUCUAAUCCCGUAAACUUAAGCGAGGUAAUGAUGUCUCUUACCAGCACCAUUAUUUGUAGAAUUGGAUUUGGCAAGAGGUAUGAUGACGAUAAAGCAACAAGUGCAAGAAGUAGAUUCCAUGCCCUGCUUAAUGAAACUCAAGCCUUGUUUGUAAGCUUUUUUGUUACAGAUUAUUUUCCUUUCAUGGGCUGGAUUGAUAAGCUCACAGGAAUGAUGCAACGCCUGCAAAAUAACUUCCAAGAACUCGAUAGAUUCUACCAGGAACUCAUCGACGAGCAUUUGGAUCCAAACAGAACAAAAUCAGAAUUGGCGCAACAGGAGGAUAUAAUUGAUGUUUUACUUCAAAUACGAAAAGAUCGUGGAUUUAAAGUUGACUUGACUUUGGACCACAUCAAAGCGGUGCUCAUGGUGAAUAAUUUUAUAAAUAGUUAUAUGUAGACUCGUGCUCAGGCGCAGACUUAAAAUUUUGUGCAGAUACCCAAUUUUACAGUCUUGUAAAAUGGUUUAUAAUGCUGUAAAGUGCCUUUGAUGUCCGCCUGAACAUGAUUAAUUUAAUGUAAUUUUAUUUGCUUUUAACUAAUUUACUAUGUAUGUAUGUAUGUUGUUUGUUUUGCAGAACGUACUCGUUGCUGGAACAGACACGAGUGCAGCAACUGUGGUUUGGGCCAUGACUUACCUAAUGAAGAAUCCUAGAGCAAUGAAAAAAGUUCAACUGGAAAUCAGAUCGUUGAUUGGGUGCAACAAAGGCUUUGUAAAUGAAGAUGAUGUUCAAGAACUGCAUUAUCUUAAAGCGGUAGUGAAGGAGACAAUGAGAUUGCAACCCACAGUACCAUUACUAAUCCCAAGAGAAACAAUUCAAAAGUGCGUAAUAGAUGGGUAUGAAAUACCAGCUAAAACACUUGUCUUUGUAAAUGCAUGGGCGAUAGGAAGAGACCCUGAAGCUUGGGAGAAUCCGGAGGAAUUUUAUCCGGAGAGAUUCGUUGAUAGCUGUAUUGACUUUAAAGGGCAACACUUUGAAUUAAUACCGUUUGGUGCUGGCAGAAGAAUUUGUCCUGGGUUGAAUAUGGGAAUCGCAACUGUGGAUCUCGCACUUGCUAAUCUUCUUUACAAAUUUGAUUGGGAAAUGCCGCCUGGAAUGAAGAGCCAAGACUUGGACUUUGAUGUUCUGCCGGGAAUUACUAUGCAUAAGAAGAAUGCUCUCUCUCUUUCGGCUAAGUAUCAUGAGUAGGUAAAUUAAGGCACCUCGGACAAUAAGAGUUUGAUCUGAACUAAAUAUAUGUUAUAGAGAUUGCAUGUAUGUCCUGAAUUGUGCUUCUCAUGUUUCCUUUCUUUCUUCUUAUGUAUAAUGAAUGUUGAUGUCUAAGUGCCCAUAGGCUGAGUGGUUUUUAAUAAUUAAAUUUCUUUUAGUUCAAAAUUUUGGGAGGUAAGGACUAGAGAAUAAUAGUUACUCUGCUCACUCUCCUAUACUAAAAAAAAAAGGUUGAUAUGAAUGUGAAUAUUAAUCUAGUACGUUCAUUUCAUCUCAUAUUUUUUCUCCUAUAUUUUUUUCUUUAAAUUUAACUUCUAUCACUUAACCUGCUAUCUUUUUAUAUGAUUGGAUAGAGAUUGAAAUUUUUGCUGUUCCAUCUCAAUGUUAAUGCUUAUAUUAUCUUCACACCUUUACUGUAAUUUUUUACUUUUACUAUUAGAUGCUGAUAGGGUCUUUUCUUGGAGAUUGCUUCACAAAAAAAAUUCUGAAAGAAGAUUUUGUUGAUCGGAUAGCAAGCUUAUCCAUAUAGUUUAAUGGAUUAUCUGCAAGAGCUCUUUUUAGUGCGCAUACAGUUGUCCCUUCAUGUUAGCAUAUUCAUUCUGUCGUCAAUGAACUUUUGCAUUUAAAUGGUAUCAGUUCAAGUGAUGAAUGAAUUUUACCUAUUGCCUAUCUUGGACUAAAUUUAAUUUCAAAAAAUGAGCUUCCAGCUUAUGACUUAUACGUAUCUUGCACUUUGGUUUUACGAUCACCAUUGGAUGGAAGAGUGGCUCGAGUUUGUUAAUUGCUUCAGUCCCAGGACUAGUGUUUGGAAACAUAAAAUUUCUCAGUUCAGCAGCUAUAAAUCUGUUUCAUGAUUGUUAUUGCACACUAUUUCCUAUAUUUUUGUCUCCAUGCUCAUACUGAAUUAGUGGUGCAUUUGUCAUCUUUCGCCUCUCAUUAAAAUGUGCUUAUUAUUUUUUAUUUCAAUCGUAGGAUGGGAAGAUUGAUACUGAUUCCAUCUACAAUGGGUUUAAAGACAACGUGAGGUUAAUGUGGGAGCGUUUCUUGUCAUCCCAGCAAAUGUUGACAUAAACAACAGACUGCAAGCUUCCCCUACUCUCUGUUCAUAUUUGCAUUUGUGUGCAUCUUGUACUUGUUGUUGCAGAAAGAUGAAUAUGUAAGAAUAAGAUCGUGUUUGUAUGCAAUGGUCAAAUGUUUUUGCAAAAAAUGUCGUUGCUUGAGUUCCUCAAUUCUCAUUCUGAACUUCAAAUUUUGUACAUUUCUUUAACUUAAUUUUUUUUUUUUCUGUGUAAUAGUAGUAUAAGUUUGGUAUCAAAAUUAAGCUAGUGACAUACUUGGAUCACUUGGGAUCCACUUGCAAAUGUAUUUUGAAGAAAAGUUUUCUCCCCGCCUUUUAUGUAAUCACACCCACCAGUAAUAUGGUAAUUUAUUGAAAGGUCCUUGAUGCCCGGUAAAAGUUAUAAUUAAAUUAAUAAACUUAUCUUUUUAAAUUAAUAAACUCAUCUUUUUGAAUAAGUUCAUCAUUUUGUACGUAUAUUAGUUUUUUUUUUUUAAAUUCCUUUUAUUUCUAAACUAUUGGUUGGAAGCAAAUAUUUCACUGUAAUCUCCUGUCGACCAAAGGAGAUGCCUUUCCCAAAGCAAGAAAAGAAAACACAAAAAGCCCACUUCAAAAACUUGUGCAAGAAGGAGAUGUGAUUACGCUGUCUUUCUGUUUCUUGGUGCGUGUAUAGAUAUAUACAUACACACAUAAGUCUGAGGACCAGCUGGCCAACAGCCCACUAGGAAGCAAUUUUAAAAUUUUUGGUCAGUAUUGUUCUUUAUAUCUUAUGAAUUUUUCCUUCAAUUAUUAUAUUUUCACUCAGUUUUGUUUUUGGGCACGCGUUAUGUGAUUUUCUUUUGAUGAUUUCCGUGGCUUCUUUUUAGCUCUUAUUUUACUGUUUCUACUGGUUAGUUUAGCUACUGUCUACUGAGAUAAAAUUAUUUGCUUGAAUAACUUAAUCUUUUGCUAUUUUAUUACGUUCAGUUUAUAUACAGUUGAUUCAUUGUAACAAAUGUUAUCAUAAAUGAUUCUUGAGUAAUUUCAUUUAUUUACUUUUUCUUCUUUCAUAGUUGGCCUGUACGGUAUCAUUUACUUUUAUCUUUUUUCAAAUUUCUUUUAAUCUACAGAAUGUUUGUUUUAGUCCUGAUCUUGGGUUACUGAAAUGUUUCAUUCCCUUUUCCUAAGUAUUUUUGUUGCUUGUUUAUCGGGCAAUACUGCAACAGUGAUUUUAAUUCACAAAAUUCUGUAAAUACUUAUUAUUCUUAGUGUGGUUUUAAGGUAGAGUGAAGUUAAUAUUAUCAUAAUGGCUUACAUUCCUCCACAUAUGAGGCAUACGAAGGACCCCCAGAGGCCAUCUCCAGUUCCAGAGAUGAUUGUGCCUAAAUUCAACAGAAAAUUAAACUUGGGAUCAUCCAAGCAUAAUGCAGACAUAAGUGGAAAGAUCGUGUAUGCAGAUCCUGCCAUACACAGGUGGUUCAUUUGUGGCUUGGAUAAUGAUAGCAGCAGUCCUUCUGUCCGCUUUGUGGAGUUUUCAGACGACCCUGUUGAGCAUAAAAAAUCGACGACCAUUAAUCUGGCUCGAGGUUACUGAUCUGCAUUUGUAAUUUUAUCUUAAAUAUGUUCUACUUUCUUUCUUUAUUUAUAUCUGGUGCUAACUUUAGUUAUAUUGACAUUUGGAUUUUGGGUUGGUAGAUAACGAUAAAUUGUGUGGGAAUACAUCAAGAAGCCCAUGGGAAUCGAUAGCAGAAAAUGUAUGGCCAGAUGUAUUGAGUGCUUGUAAUAUUGUCAAGAACGAAAUGGAGGAAAAGCCAACAAUGGUUGCUAGAUUUGGCCAUCAUCUUUUCCGUGAGUAUGUGAUCUGGUUCCAUUGCUGUAACAGCUUGAAUUUUUUAUUAGGUCAUUCCUUUUCUUUGGACUUUGAAAUUAAAGCAGCAAAAAUGCAUAUUCAUACUUAAUUCUGACAGAAAUCUUAUGGUCAUAUAAGUGGUGGCAGCUAAAAUUAUGAGCUUUACCAUUAACCCUACCACCAGCUGUGGAUGACUGUAAAUCGGAUCUCUAAACCAGGGACAAAAGUUAAAAUUGCUUUUAAAAGCCAAAGAGGAAAAUGGCAAUUUAUAGUGCAUGCACUUCUUUCAGACUUGUAUCUCAUAGAAGCUUUCAUGGCAUCUGGAAUUUGGCUUUGGCUUUGCGUAGGACAUUUCAAUUGUUGCUGGUGGAAACAAAUAUAUCCAUUGUCUUAGUUUUGCUUGAUUUCCGGUGCAAGAAACAAAUAAAUUUGUUGCCGUGGCCAAGUUUUGUUGUUUGAUAUUUCAUUGGGACAACAAAGUAUACCACUGCUUCGCCUAUUUCUUACAUCUUUGCAUCAUAUAUUUCCAUUCUUCUAUCACAUCUUUGAAGCUUCUACUAGUUCUCAUAUUAGAAGCGCCUCAAAGAAAUAAUUAUUAUAUUAUUCGUCUUAAUGAAGGAGUGACAUACUGAGCUUAGAAAAUGCGAAAGAAGGUCAGGUUGCUGAAUCUGCUUUGAGCCCACUGAGGAGAUGCUUUUACACUGGUGUCCCUCCUACAUACAUGGGAAAAAUUGUAAAUGAAGUUGUGCCAAAAAUUGGGGUUGGUUUUGUAGAGAACAAGGAUAUAUACCAUGUCAAGGUAGUUCUCCUGCAGUCCUGCUAAAUACUUUAGUAGUCAUGACCAAGUUUCUUUUAUCUCUCAAUUAAUUAGCCAUUGAUUCCCCCCCCCCCUUUCUUUUUCUUGUGUAGUUGUCUGAUGGCACACGACAAAUUACGUGCAAAUGUACUGUUAAAGAAGAUCAAAAGCUUCAUCUCUAUAAGGCAAGUCUUUUGCUACUGGCUGAGUAUUAUUUAUGGACAACGGGUCCAAGUUUAUAAGUUGCCUCUUGUGUUAAGGAGACUUUUGCUAGUGGAAACAUUGAAACAAGACUUAUGAUGUUUUGAUUUGAAUGAUAUAAUCUUUUCACUGUGAAUUAUGAAGGAGAUGUCGAAUAUAAGCGAUAGAUAUCAAGAAAGAGACGAAACCUUUGUGUCUCAAAAGAACCUUUUAGAAGUCUCUCCAGGAAUAAUCUCAGUUAAGAGGAAAAGAAUUUAAAAUGAAAAGAAGGAAGAAAAUUCUCAAGAAGUAAGACUAAUUCUACAUCUAAUUGAGGAACAGGCUUGUUAAUUUAACAAGGAAAGCUCCAGUAGCUAUUUAUUAUAAACCAAUUAAAAAUUGAAUUAAAUUAAUAGUUAACUUGUAAUUGAAUGUCUAAUCCAACAAACUAUGCAUAAGAUUACAGACGUAACUAUGUAAUACAAAAAACCUCUGCUUAUUGUAGACCAAAGUGAAUAUGCCAAUAUUUAGGAAUUUCUUUCAGCAUCAUGGGAUUUAGAUCCCUAUAAUCUUUUUUUAUUUUAGUGUAGUGACGUCCGGAAGACCAGAAUUAUCACGUACCUCGUACUAGUCGUUUUAUUUAUUUUGUCUUUUAAAGCGCCACAUUAUUUCCCAUACAGUCAUAAUAUAUCUAUUUUUUGUUUAUUUAUCGUUGCCGUGUGUGGAGUCUCAUCUUGAAUAUGAACAUUUUUCCGGUAGGUCGAACUGAACUCUGUUCGUCACAUGGUAGCAGACAUGUUAUGCGUUCAUAAAAAUCUAGACCUGAGGUUGGCACUAUGUUCAAAGAGUACCUUAUCUGCUCUCUCGGUAAGUCAAUCUGCUCCUCCGUGCAUGUUUUAGCUGGACUUUUAAGUUACGCCUUCUUUUUUCCCCUUUUUAUUUUAUUUGGUCAUUUGCUUGUUGGAAUCAUCAUCAUUACAGAAUGAUGAAGAAAAAUUCAAGACCAGGGGAAAUAAGGAAAUAUUAAACUUAUAGCUUUUGUUUUAUCAUAGAAAGUUUACUUUCAAGGGGUUGAGAAAAAAUUUAUAUAUAUAUAUAUACACACACACAUACACACACACACACACACACACACGACAAGCUUAAAACGGUUAAACAUUAGCAUGCAUGAUCCUUUUCUUCAAAACUGAAACUUUACAAAUGUUAAAAAUAGAAUAACAAAUAAAUUAUUAGAUUUCCAAAAUCAGUUACCGUUAUGCAGGCUUAAAACAAAAGUUAAAUAUAAGCUCUUUUUUUUUUUUUUGGGGGGGGGGGGGGGGGGGGGGCGUGUGUGCCUAUGAGUAGUCCCAGCAAAUGAAUUCUAUGAUCAAACUGAAAUUUUUGAAUUUUCAGGAUGAUGAAAUGAACAGCAUUAGAAUUCUGAUUAAUUCAGCCAUUCCGGAUCCGGAAGUCAAGGGUGGGUUAAGAUGGCCCAUGGGGAAGUCAUAUUCAGGGGAUUACACAAUUGUUGGGGUUUGGCACAAUGAAUUUAAAUCAUAUAAAAGCCCAUCACUAAAGCUUAAGGUAAGAAAUGUUGAUCGAUUUAUUUUCAAGACUGGAACUGGGGAAGCUACGAUUGAGAUUAAUCUAAAGUUGAGAAGACUAGUUUCAGAGAUUCAGGUACUUGCUGCUUUUUGCUUUAACUUUUAUCACAAAACCUACUAUCUUUGUGCAUGAUUACAUGGAUCUUGAAAUUCUUGCUGUUAUGUCAUAAUGUUAAUGCAUAUUUUGUCUUCACGCAUUUCUUACUGAACUUGUGUCUUGAGCUGUAAUUGUAAUUUCCAAUUUUUACUAUUAGAUGGGUAUUUUAUUGGGGAUUUCUUUACUUAAAAAAAAAAUAUGUUUGACAGAGAAUAUUUUAACGAUGAGAUUGCAAUAUUGUAAUAGAUAAUCUUCAGGAACUCUUUUUACCUUUUAGUAGUUAUGCAGUUGCUCCUCUGUGUUAGCUUAUUUAUUCUAUCAUAUGUAACGAAUGACUUUUUACCAAAUUUGAUUUCAAAGCUGAGCUUCCAGCUUAUGACUAAUAUUUGUGUCUUGCACUUUUGUUUUACAAUCACCAUUAGAUGGAAGAGUGCUUAGAGUUAGUUAAUUGAUUCAAUCCCAGGAUUAGUCUUUUGAAACAUAAAAUUUAUCGGCUAAGCUAUAUAAAUCUGUUUCAUGUUUCUUAUCGCACACUAUUUCGUAUGGCUUUGUCUCCAUGCUCAUACAAAAUUAGUGUUGUAUUAGAUGUCUUCUGUCUUUCAUUCACAUGUACUUAUUACUUUUUCUUUCAAUCGUCAGGAUGGGGAGAUUGAUACUGAUUCCAUCUACAAUGGGUUUAACGACAACUUGAGGUUAAUAUGGGACCAUUUCUUGUCAUGGGAGUCAUAACUUUUGACAAAAACAACAGAUUGCAUGCUCUCCCCGCUCGGUUCAUAUUUGCGUUUGUGUGCAUCCUGCAGUUGAAGAUGUAGAAUGAUGUAAAUGCAAGAAUAAGAGCAUGUUCGUAUCCAAUGGUAAAAUGUUUUUGCUAAAAUGUAUGGACUUGUAACAGCUUGUUGCGUGAGUUUCUCAAUCUCCUGAACCUCAAAUUUUGUCCUAUUUUCACCCCGGCUUUUUCCCCCCGUCCUCUGUAAUAGUUAUAUUUGGUAUAAGUUUGGCAGUUCCUGUGUAAAGUGUUUCAUAUUCAUGUGUGGAAUAAAUAUCAACAUCCAGAUACAAGAAAGUUUGAUUUUAUUUGUAAGACCUGUCUCUCAAAGUUAAUCUAGUGACAUGCUUGAAGCACUUGGGAUCCACUAGUUGGAUGUAUUUUUGUUAAGAUUUAUUUAGCAUUUUGUAUGUGUAUCAGUGCCUUUUUUUUUUGUUGUUAAACCGUUGGUUAGAGGGCAAAUAUUUCACAUUAAAGUGGGGUCUGCUUGCCACCAAGGGAGAUGCCUUUCCCAAAGCAAGAAACGAAAACUCAAAAGCCCACUUCAUAACUUGUGUAAGAAGGAGAUGUAAUUGACAUAUGCUGUCCUUUUUCUUGGUGCGUGUAUGUGUGUGUAUACACACUUAAUUCCGAAGAUCAACUGAGCCAACAGCCAAAACUUGAAAGCAAUUUUAAAAUUUUCGGUUAGUAUUGUACUUUAUAUCUUUUGAAUUUCUCUUUAAUUUAUUAUAUUUUCACUUUAGUUUUGUUUCUGGGUACUCUUUAUGGGCCACAAUUAUGGUACCACUGUGGUACCAUACCACAGCUGGAUCCAGCCAUUGGAUCCGGCCUACAGUGGUCCCCAUAGCUGGAUCCAAUGGCUGGAUCCAGCUGUGGUAUGGUACCACAGUGGUACCAUAGCCGGACCCCUCUUUAUGUGCUUUUCUUCGAUGAUUUUGGUGAGCUCAUAUUUUACUGUUUCCACUGGUUAGUUUAGUUAUUGUCUACUAAGAUAAAAUUAUUUGCUUCAAUAACAUAGAGUAUUGAGGUGUUGUAAUUUAAAAUUUUAGAAAAAAAUAUAUUUAUAAAAUAAAAGUUAAUAGUAUGUGGUAAAUAUAAUUUUAAAAUAAUAAUUUUAAUAAAAUUAGUAAAGAUAUAAUAGAUUUUCAUCAUAUAAAAGUAAAAUCAAAUCAACUUAAUUUCUAAACUACAUAAAUUAAUUUUUAUAAAACACUUUAGUGCUGUAACUACCCAACCUCAAUCUAAAGUAUAGCCUUAAUUGUUUGCUAUUUUAUUAUGUGAUUGUAUAUAGAGUUAAUUAAUUGUAUCAAAUGUCAUUAUAAAUGAUGCAUGAGCAAUUUCAUAUUGUUUUUCUUUCCUUCAUUGAUAAUUGGCUUGUCGGAUAUCUUUGAACUUUUUUUUUUCGCCUCAAAGUUCUUUUAGUCUGCAGAAUGUUGGUUUUAGUUUCGAUCUUGGUUACUGCAAUAUUUCAUUCAUUCUUUCUAAGCAUAGUGGGUUCAUUUCACAAAAUUCUGUAAUAAGUACUUAUUGUAGUUUAAGGUAGCGCGAAGUAAUAUUAUCGUAAUGUCUUACAUUCCACCACAUAAGCAGCAGUUUGUAAUCAAGACUGCAGAGAAUCUUGCAGAUAUAUUGACUAAGGUGGUGACGACAAUUAAGUUUGAGCAUUAUCUAAACUUGAUCAAUAUCUUACAAGUUUGAAAAUAGUCAGAGAAGACAGAGACUGGAGGAUGGUUUGUUGAUAGUCGGCUCAGAUUUACUAAAUUUUCGUUAAGGUAGAGAAUUGUUGAAAAAUCAAGCAUGCUUGCAUGAGCUAGCUAGCAUGCAAAUUUCAAGCCCACCAAUGUUCAGCUAGCGUGAUCCAAUUGCAUGUGCUAGCAUGAUCUCUUCGUCAAAAGUCACACCAAAGCCAUUAAAAUUGAAAAUGGCCAAAGUUUUUUUUUCAUGCAUUUAUAUUGUAAGAUUUGCCUAUAAAUAGAGGAGUAGAAUGCAUUUGUAAAGCAUCCCAAUUUGUGAGAAGUAGAGAGCAAUUGCAAGUGAGCUCUUUGAGAGAAUUUGAGAGAGCUUCCACUUGAGUGUUCUAGUUGUUGUGCAAAUUUUAAUGUACUCGCAAGCGCACGAAUCUAUUGUAGUAUAGAUCAAUGGUGACGAGUGUCGAUCCCACGAGGAGGUGGAUUUUAAUUGUGUAUAGAAUUAAUUUUGUAAAUGGGUGGUUGGAUCUGUGGUGGAAAUGAAUUGGAAUAUGCUAAAACUUAAAUUAAAAUGGCGAGAAUAAAUUCUAAAAUUGGAAUUGCAAUGGCGAGAAUAAAUUGAAGAGAAAUGUAUUGAAAUGACGUACUUGGGUAUCUGGAUCCGUAUCAACAUGCAUCAUGGGCUAAAUAAUCCGUAUUAAUGCCAAUUAAAUCAUGAGGGGGGAAUCCACACCUCAUGAACCACGCUCUAAUCAAUAUGGUGCUAAGGGCUUAUCGUGCCAAAUAAUAAUAACCUUAUACUAGAGAGCCGGUGUAACCAAGGCGGUAUCUAGACAAGAUCAGUAUUAUUUGUCGACGAUAAGUCAAAUCAUCCACAAAAACUAGAGGGGAAAAGAAAAUAAAUUUACCAAAUAAAGCCCAUGACACAUGUUGAGACUUCACCUUCAACCCAAGCUUGAAAGGAAAUUAGCUACUCAUAAUUGAACUAGGGGCAAAAUGAAAAUUUAUUAAAAUACGAAGAAAAUACAAGAUGGAGAAGGAAUUACAGAAAAUGGAUCCCAAAAAUGGAUUCAGAGAUAUCAAAUUAGGGGGGGGAGGCCCCUUUUUUAUAGAUACAUGGAGUAAAUCAUGGCCAUCGGAUUAAAAACAGUUUGGACGCUCAGGAUUGCGCCACGUCAUCAGUCAACAGUCCACGGUUUGACCACGCGGAUGAACAGUAACACGGUUUGACCACGCGGAUGAACAGUAACGCGGUUUGGUUGAAAAUAAUCCUGUGUGAUGCAUGCACCGUACGCGAGAUUUUUCGUCCACUGAUAUGCUGCCACGUCACCAUCAACAGUACAUAAGAAUUUUAGUCCAACAGGAUCGUGACACCUCAUCAGUCAAUGCCACAUCAUCGGUCAAUGCCACGUCAUCGAUCCGUCUAUGUGAACAGUGUCGUGAACAGUAACGUAGACAGUACCGUAUACGUGAAUAGUACCGUACAUGUGAAUAGUGCCAUUUUUCUUUUUAUGCCCCUCCUAAGGUUUUCGACCGUCCUGAGUUCAAAAGUGAUGUCCGUUUUGCCAUCUGAUCUCUCCUUUAUUGUGAAAUAACUAUAAUGCCCCUAAAAUACAUAAAAUACUUAAUUAAAAUAAAACACAUGUAAUUAAAUCACAAGAAGGUUAAAUACAUAAAAGUAAGGGUUUUUAAUAAGACUUGAAAUGUAAAAUGACGGUUUUCUCCUUUAUAAAUAUGCAUUUUCUAACACUCAACACACCCCCCAACCAGCUUAUUGCUAGUCCCUAGCAAAUAAAGCGAAAACAAAAUUCAAAUUCAAAAUGAUUUUUUUUUUUUUUUUGAACUACUCGUGUUUAUUCAAUCAGAUUAAUGAUAGCAAUCAAAUAAAAGUAUAAGCAUUAUCUCCAGUCUAAAGCAACAUCACACCCACAUCAACCAUCCACAUGAAUUAGCCCAGUAGACUUUGUUAUAGCUACUUUCAAGAAUGACAUGUCAAACCCCAAAAUCUCACUUGAAGUAGUGACACUCUCACAAAGAAAUUAAAACCCAAUAAACAUAGUCACUCCAAUGAAUGGUAAUUGAGAGAGAAAAUAAUAAAGAAAUGAUAUCACAUGCUCUCACCAAGAUGAAAUAAAUAUGCCCUCAGCUUAGAAAUAAUGCGAUCUCAAGUCAAAUAAAAUGUUAGUCAACCCACUUUAUUUAUCUUUUUUUUUUAUUAUUAUUAUGCAUCACUACAUCUUUUUAGCCCAUAUAACUAGCUUCUACUUCAAACUAUAGUUCCCUAAAAUCAAGAAGGACUUUUAUUAGGACGUAACGUAGGCUAGGGAUAUGGCUAACAAAGAAAGGAAAUAAGGAAAACAAAGUGUAUGUUUGAAAAAAAUGCAGAAUUUUUUUUUUUUUUUUUUUUUUGGAACUUGCAAGGUGGAUUUCACCUAUUAUUGUUAUUUUUAUUCUUUUGAAACAACAACUUUUGUUUUUGUUUUUGUUUUUUUUGUUUUUUUUUUUUGCUUUUAUUUGGCAUAACUUCACUGAACAACAUAAUUAUUUACAUUUUCUCAAACAUAAAUAGGUGAUGGAACUUAAAAGACAUUGGGUAAUACUCCAAAUCGGAGUGGGUCAAGAUGAUAAGUUGACAAAGAAAAGGUUUUUGUUCUUUUUUUUUUUUUUUUUUUUUUUUUUUUUUUUAAGGCUCAAAAGGGGUAACUAUGGAUAUUUAAUAAAAGGGAUGGCUAGAAAGGCUCAAACGGAUCAAAGAUGGCCUUUCUAUCGUCUUUUAGGGCUCUAAAUAAUUAUCCAUAUCUACUAGUUAGAUGGGCCUCCCAAUGUAGCAACACACAUUUUUUUCUUUUUUCUUUUUUUUUUUAAUUUUACCAUAUUUUUUUUUUUUUAAAAGGGUUAACUUAAAAGAAAUCUAGAGAUCGUGUAUAAAAUAAUAAACUGCUAAGCUGUAUAGAGAAUGGGUAAAAGGGUUACUCUCCAAGAAAAUGAUAGGCUCAACUACUCACUUGGCACUUAUUUAUGACAUGUUCAUUCCUUCAAGCAACUCAUAUUUGUCUCCGACAUCAACAUGUAAAGUAGCAAACAUAGCGUAACAUCACUUAAGACCAAAGAUAAUACAAAUACUAAAAUUUGAAAUUAGUCAUGUCAUCCAAUGUUAAAACAAAUAACACAAUUUUUUUUAAACAACAUUCUACCCCCCAACCUAUUCUAAACAUGAAAGGAAAAUAUGCAUGCAGAAAUGUGAAAAUGAUGUAGAAAAAUUAAUUAGAAAAAGAAUUUUUUUUUUUUUUUUUAAACUAAGAAGAUGCGUUUCUAGAGGCACUACACUCCAUAUUCAGCCAUCUUCGACUCAAAAAUUUGAAACUACAUAUUUAUAAAGGAGAAAGAGGAAGAAAACAGGUUUUUUUUUUUUUUUUUUUUAAAACGAUGAAGAUGCGUUUCUAGAGUAACUACACUCCAUAUUCAGCCAUCUUCAACAUAAAAUGUUAGCAACAGUUAGUUUCUACAACAAAAAAUCAGUAAAAACUUAACCAAGAUUCCACAAUUGUCGACUAUUCCCUUCCCCCAACUAGAACGAAACAUUGUCCUCAAUGUUUUAAAGGAAAGAAGUAGAGUUUAGAAGACAUCACCUGGGUGGUGCAACACAGAAGAAAAUAUUUACAAGCGGAGAGUUAAAUCUAAUUUGUACUUCUUACUGCGGCUACUGUUACCAUCAUUAUUUGGUCGCUCCAACACAAAGGUCCAGGGGUCUGGCUCCGGUUUAUAAGCUUGUAACAUAUCAAGUAGCUCAUUAGCAGUGUGAGCACAAAUAAAGAGUUUUUUCACAUUAGAAGGAAUGAAAUAGUUUUUUAUUGCAUGGUUAAGAAAUGCGAUAAAGUCAUCAUAAAAGUUAUUGACAUUUAACAAACCGAUAGGUUUCUGGUGGAUGUGCAGAUGGGCCCAAGAUGCUAGUGUCAUAAGUGCCUCUAGUGUUGCAAGAUCUCCUGGAAGGAAAAUAAAAGCAUCAGCAUGAUUAAGCAUUUCAGUUAUUCUUUCUUGCAUACCUGAGACGACUAACUCUUCUCCAGUUGAUGAGUCAGACGAACUGCCCAAUGGUUUUAGGACUCUUGGGAUGAUGCCUAACACUUGACUUCCUCUGAUAAAAGCUGCUUCUGAGACCAUUUUUGAUAACCCUCGGUUACCUCCUCCAUACACCAAAUGUAAUUUUCUCGCUGCUAUGCUUCGACCAAGAUCUAUGGCUGCCUCAACGAACUCUUUAUGUUUGCCAUAGGUAAAUCCAGAAAGCACACAAAUGUUCUUGAAUUGUCUAUUGGGAGUAGCGGCCAUUGUGAUACUUCUCAAAAAUAAUUUGUGAGUGCUUGACAAAAAAUAGAUCACAUUUAAGAAUCUUGGUGACAGUGGAUCACAGCUGUGAAUGAGGUAACAUGUCAGUGUGAAAUAACGCGUGAAGCACAUGGCUUGCGAGUCAAAAAGGAAACAGUAAAAAGGAAAAAGCAAACAGUAAUAAAAUUAUUAAAGACAAUAAUGCAAACAAUAAAACAACAGUGAAAUGAAAUAAAAUAACAGUAAAGUAAAAUGAUAUUUACACGUAGUUGCGACUGUGGCUCACAUCUUCCUCUGGUUUUACGUCCAGAAACGGCUUGAACGCCCUCUAUGGGUCGAGGAUGGGCUUCCCAUCCAGUUUUCUUAUAAACUGGCAAACAGGGUCGUUUAUAGUCAGAUUCCCGAGACUAUAUCGUGCAUGCUCUUUCUGGAAUAAUGGCCAUAACCGGAGAAUCGCUCCUUGCACAUAUCCACUGGGAUGCGUUUCAAGAGACAAAAGGAUAUCAUCCAAUGACUCCUUAUUCAAGCCAUCCCUAAUGAAUUGAAUCUUAUCUUCCCUGUUAUCAGACACCAUUCCUAAAGAACAUGGGUUUCUAUCGCAACUCAUUCUGGCACACUUAUGACAAGCAACAGAAAUUCUUCGAGCUCGUCGUUUUCUUGCAUAAUUGCCUUUACCACAACCAGGCAUGUAUGCAAUAAAUUUAUGAGGUAACUCACCUGCCAAUCGUACUUUAGCCUCGAUUAACCAACGGAUGUCUGCAGGUAUGUUAUUCCUCAUGAGCAAUCGCAUGCGUUCAGACCGGGCUUUAUAGAUUGUAAGGAGGGCAUUCUGAGGAAGUGAAGGGAAUCGCUUGUGAAGCUUUGCUAAAAUCUCGUUUCUAUCCAUACCUUCGCCUCAGAAUAUCAGUUAUUAUGGGAAACUGAAGUUAACCGACUUGAUUGUCACGGAGUACCGUUAUCCGCCACUUCACCGGGGUAACAAACUAAAGCACACAAACAGAAAAACAAAUUAAAACACACAAAGAAAAUUAAAAUCGUCCUCUUAUUGAAUUUACCUCAAGCUCCAACUGGAUGUCGUAAACACUUCUCUCAAUGUCUCUGAGUUGGCGUUCUAAACCCUCAACAUAGGCUACUAACUCUGGUGGUUGUAGAGCCCAAAUGCGUUGUGUUUUACAAAAUAGAAUCUGCCUUUUGAGAUGAGUUUUGACACGUUGAAGUGGUUUAAGAAUGUUCAGGAGGAACGGUCUAAGUAUGAGACUCAUGAUUAAAAAUGAUAAGAGAAAACUUAAUUGUUAAACAAACACACUUAUGCAAAAAUAAUUUCAAUUAGCAAAAGAAUAAUAAAAAGAAAGAAAGAAAAAUCAAAUCAAUAAAAAGAGAAAAAAAAAAUUAAUUCAAAUCUGGUGGGUCACUCAAAUUUAUUUCGGUGUCUUCUUCAUGUGGUUGGUACUCUAGAUAUGGCUUUAAUCUUUGACCAUUAACUUUAAACGUGACACCGUUCUUUGGGUCUUUAAUUUCAAUUGCCCCAUGUGGAAAAACAGUAUGAACAAUAAAGGGACCAGACCAUCGAGAGCGUAACUUACCUGGGAAUAGGUGCAAGCGAGAAUUGAAUAAAAGCACUUUCUGACCUGGAGUGAACGAUUUUCUCAUAAUUUGCUUAUCAUGGAAGACUUUCAUUCGUUGCUUGUAAAUCUUGGCAUUUUCGUAUGCAUCAUUGCGAAUUUCUUCAAGUUCUGCCAGCUGUAAUCUUCUUUCUGAGCUGGCUUGCUGCAUGUCAAAGUUGAAUUUCUUGAUGGCCCAAUAUGCACGAUGCUCGAGUUCCACAGGUAGGUGGCAAGCUUUUCCAUACACUAGCCUGUAGGGUGACAUCCCAAUCGGGGUCUUGAAAGCCGUUCUAUAUGCCCAUAAUGCAUCAUCAAGUCGUAAUGACCAAUCUUUUCUGUCUGGCCUCACCGUUUUUUCUAAUAUGUGCUUGAUUUCUCGAUUGGAGAUCUCAACUUGGCCACUGGUUUGCGGAUGAUACGGGGUCGCCACUUUGUGUGUGAUUGAAUACUUUGUCAAAAGAGCUUUGAAUGUUUUGUUACAAAAGUGGGCACCACCAUCACUGAUUAUCGCUCGAGGGAAUCCAAAGCGUGAAACAAUGUUGCUUUUCAAAAAUCCUAUCACCACUUUGUGAUCAUUGGUUCUGCAUGGAAUUGCUUCCACCCAUUUCGAUACGUAGUCAACACCAACCAAUAUGUAUUGAUGGCCAAAAGAAGGGGGAAAGGGUCCCAUGAAGUCGAUACCCCAUACGUCAAAAAUCUCAACCACUAAAAUUGGAUUUAGUGGCAUCAUGUUCCUUCGUGUAAUGCUCCCCAUUCGUUGACACCUAUCACAUGAAGAACAGAAAGUGUAAGCGUCUCGAAAUAUAGUUGGCCAAUAGAAACCACAUUGUAAAACUUUUGUAGCUGUUUUCUUAGCACUAAAAUGGCCUCCACACGCUUGUUCAUGGCAGAAUGAAAGGAUAUUUUGAAUUUCACUUUCUGGGACACAUCGCCUAACAAUUUGAUCUGCACAAUACUUGAACAAAUACGGGUCAUCCCAAAAGAAAUUCUUUAUUUCCGCAAAGAAUUUAGCCUUGUCUUGCUUGGUCCAAUGCUCUGGAAGUUUACCUGUAACAAGAUAAUUAACUAUAUCAGCAUACCAAGGUAAUACUUCCACAUUCAUUAAUUGUUCAUCUGGAAAUGACUCAUUCAAUAUUAAUGGAUCUGUAAUUGUGUCAAAAUGGAGACGAGAGAGGUGGUCCGCCACAACAUUUUCUGUGCCUUUCUUAUCCUUGAAUUCCAAGUCGAAUUCCUGCAAAAGUAACACCCAACGAAUUAGUCUAGCUUUUGCAUCUUUCUUUGUGAGAAGAUAUUUAAGAGCAGCAUGAUCUGUGAAUAUAAUUAUUUUACAACCAAUGAGAUAAGAUCGAAAUUUCUCUAAUGCAAACACUACUGCUAGCAUUUCUUUUUCAGUAGUUGAAUAAUUCAACUGUGCAUCAUUCAAUGUCAUACUAGCAUAGUAAAUAACGUGGGGAAUUCGAUCAACUCUUUGUCCUAAUACUGCUCCUACUGUAUAAUCAGAUGCAUCACACAUGAGCUCAAAUGGUAAGUUCCAGUUUGGGGCCUGAAUGAUGGGUGAUGAUGUCAACAACUGCUUUAAUUUUUCAAACGCCAUGAGACAUGAAUCAUUAAAGAUAAAAGGUACAUCCUUAGCAAGUAAAUUGCAUAAGGGUCUAGAAACUUUGCUAAAAUCUUUAAUGAAACGUCUAUAAAAACCAGCAUGUCCAAGGAAAGAUCUUACUUCUCUGACUGUUUUAGGUGGAGGAAGAUUAGAAAUGAGAUCCACCUUGGCUUUGUCAACCUCAAUACCUUUGCUCGAAAUGAUGUGACCGAGAACAAUACCUUGUUUUACCAUAAAAUGGCACUUCUCCCAAUUCAAGACUAAGUUCUUCUCGGUACAUCUCUGCAGAACUAGCGUUAGAUGAUGUAAACAUUGAUCAAACGAGUCACCAAAGAUAGAAAAAUCAUCCAUAAAGACUUCAAGGAAUCGUUCAACCAUAUCAGAAAAAAUGCUCAACAUGCAUCGUUGGAAUGUAGCAGGUGCAUUACAUAAUCCAAAUGGCAUUCUCCUAUAUGCAAAAGUGCCAAAAGGGCAAGUGAAAGUAGUUUUCUCCUGAUCUUUUGGUGCUAUGGGAAUCUGAUUAUAUCCUGAGUAGCCAUCUAGAAAGCAAUAAAAUUCAUGGCCUGCUAAUCUAUCAAGCAUUUGAUCAAUAAAUGGUAAAGGAAAAUGGUCUUUACGUGUGACAGAAUUCAACUUUCUAUAAUCAAUGCAUACACGCCAUCCUGUAGUUACUCUAGUUGGUAUCAAUUCAUUAUCAGCAUUGGUAACUACUGUGACUCCUGACUUUUUGGGGACGACUUGUACAGGACUGACCCAUGAACUAUCAGAAAUUGGGUAAAUGAUACCUGCAUCUAAUAGCUUAAGGACUUCAGUUCUAACAACUUCUUUCAUGUUAGGAUUUAACCGACGUUGCAUCUCCCUAGUAGUUUUAGCAUUUUCAUCAAGGUGAAUGUAAUGCAUGCAGUCUACUGGAUUUAUACCUUUUAUGUCUGCUAUGGUCCAUCCUAAUGCCCCUUUGUGCUCUUUUAACACAUCCAACAACUUACCUUUUUGUUCGUCAUUUAGGGAUGAUGAGAUGAUUACCGGUAGAGUGCUUUCUUCUCCCAAAAACGCAUAUUCCAAUGUGUUGGGCAAUUGUUUGAGCUCGAGUUUUGGUGGUGAUUCUGAUGAUGGGAUGAGUUUCUUUUCUGACGGUGCUAGUUGUUCUACUCUUGACUUCCAUUUAUUAGUGUCCAUGGAUGGUGCUGAGUCAAGUAGGGCGUUGACCUCUUCGACCGAUCUAUCAAUAUCAAAAUCCAAACCAAAGUGAGUUAAGCAUGUUUGUAAAGGAUCAUCACUAAGGUUUGAAAGAAAAGUAUUAUCAACUAUUGUUUCUAUUAAAUCCACAUCAACAAUUCCAUCAUCUGCACUGUGAGGUUGUUUGGCAAUGUUAAAGAUGUUUAGCUCCAUAGUCAUGUUGCCGAAGGACAAUUGCAUAUUUCCGGUCCUACAUUGAAUAUGAGCAUCUGCAGUUGCCAAGAAAGGUCGGCCUAGAAUAAUGGGGAUGUGCUUCCUUGAGUCCUGUAUUGGUUGAGUGUCAAUUACAAUGAAAUCAACAGGAAAAUAAAACUUGUCUACCUGGAUAAGCACGUCCUCCACAAUACCACGAGGUAUUUUUGUGGACCGAUCUGCAAGUUGUAACACCACUGGAGUUGGGUGUAAUUCUCCCAGUCCAAGUUUCACGAAUACAGAGUAAGGUAACAAAUUUACACUAGCUCCUAAAUCCAACAAAGCAUUCUCAAUUGUGUGGUUCCCUAUACUACAUGAGAUAGUGGGGGAGCCUGGGUCUUUGCAUUUUAAAGGAAUUUUAUGUUGGAGUAUAGAACUAACGUUUUCUGUUAAAAAUGCCUUCUUUUGAACAUGCAUAUUUCUCUUUUUAGUACAAAGGUCUUUAAGAAACUUGGCAUAAGAUGGAAUUUGUUUUAUAGCAUCAAGCAAAGGGAUAUUGACACUUACCUGUUUGAAGAUUUCGAGAAUCUCACCUGUGGAUUUUCCCUUCUUGCCUUUAGCUAACCUCUGAGGAAAUGGAGCUUUCGGAAUAUAUUCUCGUGGGUUGGUUUCUUCUCUCUCCUCCGGUGGUGAGUCCUCAGCAUUUACAGGUACAAUUUGAUUUUCUUUUGUCACCUGCAUCUCCACUUUAUUGUCGACUUCUUUUCUUUUUCUCAAGGUCAUUACUGCUUUGACCUCUCCAUGCUGCUGUGGUGAACUGGUACUUGCUUCAUGCACUCCUUUAGGAUUAGGCACUGGUUGACUCGGAAACUUGCCUUUCUCAACAGUCAUUGCCAAGGUCUGAACUGAAGAAGCAAGCUGUCCCACCAUCUUCUCGAGGCUUGAAACUGAUUGGGCUUGUGAAUUGAAGCCCGCUCUCAACUCAUUUCGUAGUCCAUCAAUGGUGCGAUUCUGUUGCUCAAUCGUGGAGUGAGUAACAUUCUUGAAAUUCUGGAAUGCAUCCUCCCAUGGUCUGGGUUGAGAGUAGUUCUGGUUUUGAUUGUAUGGUCUAAAUGGUGGCUGAGAGGCUUGAGGAUUUUGAGGAAUUGGUUGCAUUGGUGGAGCUGGAGCUGCUGGUCCAUUCUGUUGAAAUCCUUGAGACCAUGAAAAAUUGGGGUGGUCUCUCCAUCCAGGAUUAUAUGUGUUGGAGUAUGGGUUGUAAUUAGAUGGCUUUCUCAUUACACCUAUGGCAUUGGCUUGAUCGGAGUAUGAGUCAUGGUCAUGUGGUUCUGUUGAUUUAGCAGUCGAUAACGAUGCUAUUUGUCGAGCAAGACCUUCAACCAUCUCCUUGACUUCUUUGAUUCCCGAAGUUGACUCGCCAAUGUGAACCUCAUUCACUCCUUUAAUCCUUCUAGUAUUCCUGAGUGAUCGACUCCGUUGUUGGGAAUUAUCCGCUUGUCGCUGGAAGAAUUCCCAAAUCUCUGUUGCGCUUUUUGACAUUAGCUCUCCUCCACUUGUUGCCAUUAGCCAUUCUUGCACAUUCGGCAAUAAUCCCUCCAAAAAGUAUUGGCAUUGGUGCCAUUUUUCGUACCCAUGAUGUGGACACUUCAAGAGUAGUCCAUUGAAUCGCUCCCAAGUUUCGAAAAACUGCUCGUCCUCUCUUUGUGUAAACUCUGAAAUUUCCCUGCGAAUAGAAUUGGUUUUAUGCACUGGGAAAUAUUUAUUUAGAAAUUUUGUUACCAUUUGUUCCCAUGAUGAAAUGCUAUUGGCAGGCAAUGUAUUAAGCCAUGAACGAGCUCUAUCCUUUAAAGAAAAUGGGAAUAGUCUAAGUUUUACAUCAUCAUCUGAAAAAUUUUCAUAUUUAAAAGUUUGACAAAUAGCAUGAAAAUCAUUCAAAUGAUUAUAUGGGUCCUCAUUUUCUAGGCCAUAAAAUGUGGGGAGACAAUUUAGCACACUAGGUUUUAAUUCAAAACUCCUAGCAGCUACAUUUGGGUAUCUUAUGCAUGAUGUGCUCAAAUUAGCUAAGGGACUAAAAUAGUCCUUAAAUGGCCUCUCCUGUGGUGCUUGUAAAUCCAUUUUAUUUUUAACGUGUUUGUGUGUGCGAAGUGUUUUUUCUAAUUCAAGGUCUAUAGGUUCAAUAUUAGGUAAUAAUGACCUACGACCAUGCAUGCAAAAUAAAUAAAAUAAAAAUAAAGAUGCAAACAAAACAAAAAAUAAAGAUGGGAACAAAACAAAUAAAAAAUAAAGAUGAGAACAAAACAAAUAAAAAUAAAGAAGAGGGAGAAAUUACGAUACUAACCUCAUUGCGCUAUUACAACCUUACUAUAAAAAUACACAAAAAUAAAUACGUGAAAUAAAUUAACUAAAAAUUAAAUUAAUAAGAUAAACAAAAAUUACAAAGAAAAAAUAAAUUGAAAAUUAAAUUACAGAAUUUUAAAGAAGAGAAAAAGAAAAGAAAUACUAACCUUUAAAUGUAGAUUUACUCUUUUUUUUUAAAGAACAAAAAAAAAAAAAAAAUACAAGAAAACAAUUUAAAAUAAAUUAUUCACAAAAAUUAAUUCUAUGAAUUAAAACUACUUACCUCCCCGGCAACGGCGCCAAAAACUUGUUGUGCAAAUUUUAAUGUACUCGCAAGCGCACGAAUCUAUUGUAGUAUAGAUCAAUGGUGACGAGUGUCGAUCCCACGAGGAGGUGGAUUUUAAUUGUGUAUAGAAUUAAUUUUGUAAAUGGGUGGUUGGAUCUGUGGUGGAAAUGAAUUGGAAUAUGCUAAAACUUAAAUUAAAAUGGCGAGAAUAAAUUCUAAAAUUGGAAUUGCAAUGGCGAGAAUAAAUUGAAGAGAAAUGUAUUGAAAUGACGUACUUGGGUAUCUGGAUCCGUAUCAACAUGCAUCAUGGGCUAAAUAAUCCGUAUUAAUGCCAAUUAAAUCAUGAGGGGGGAAUCCACACCUCAUGAACCACGCUCUAAUCAAUAUGGUGCUAAGGGCUUAUCGUGCCAAAUAAUAAUAACCUUAUACUAGAGAGCCGGUGUAACCAAGGCGGUAUCUAGACAAGAUCAGUAUUAUUUGUCGACGAUAAGUCAAAUCAUCCACAAAAACUAGAGGGGAAAAGAAAAUAAAUUUACCAAAUAAAGCCCAUGACACAUGUUGAGACUUCACCUUCAACCCAAGCUUGAAAGGAAAUUAGCUACUCAUAAUUGAACUAGGGGCAAAAUGAAAAUUUAUUAAAAUACGAAGAAAAUACAAGAUGGAGAAGGAAUUACAGAAAAUGGAUCCCAAAAAUGGAUUCAGAGAUAUCAAAUUAGGGGGGGGAGGCCCCUUUUUUAUAGAUACAUGGAGUAAAUCAUGGCCAUCGGAUUAAAAACAGUUUGGACGCUCAGGAUUGCGCCACGUCAUCAGUCAACAGUCCACGGUUUGACCACGCGGAUGAACAGUAACACGGUUUGACCACGCGGAUGAACAGUAACGCGGUUUGGUUGAAAAUAAUCCUGUGUGAUGCAUGCACCGUACGCGAGAUUUUUCGUCCACUGAUAUGCUGCCACGUCACCAUCAACAGUACAUAAGAAUUUUAGUCCAACAGGAUCGUGACACCUCAUCAGUCAAUGCCACAUCAUCGGUCAAUGCCACGUCAUCGAUCCGUCUAUGUGAACAGUGUCGUGAACAGUAACGUAGACAGUACCGUAUACGUGAAUAGUACCGUACAUGUGAAUAGUGCCAUUUUUCUUUUUAUGCCCCUCCUAAGGUUUUCGACCGUCCUGAGUUCAAAAGUGAUGUCCGUUUUGCCAUCUGAUCUCUCCUUUAUUGUGAAAUAACUAUAAUGCCCCUAAAAUACAUAAAAUACUUAAUUAAAAUAAAACACAUGUAAUUAAAUCACAAGAAGGUUAAAUACAUAAAAGUAAGGGUUGUUAAUAAGACUUGAAAUGUAAAAUGACGGUUUUCUCCUUUAUAAAUAUGCAUUUUCUAACACUCAACACUAGUGAGGUUCCAUUUAGGUGUAUUGGGGUUGUGGGUUUUGUGAGUUUUUUCCACUUUUGUAAAUUCUCAUUAUUAGUAAAAUUAUCUUCCAAUCUUUGCCCGUGGACGUAGGCAUUAUGCCGAACCACGUAAAUUAUUGUGUUUAUAUUUUCUUUGUAUUUGUUUGGCACAUUUAUAUUUCUCCAAAAGUUACAUUCAUCGUAAUAUUGGUAAUUGCUCAACCUCGCACUUCCGCAACAAUUGGUAUCAGAGCAGAAGGUUCGUGCUUGGGGCAUACAACAUUGUUCACGUAUACGGAACUGUUCACAAAUACGGUAUUGUUCACGUAUACGGUAUUGUUCAUUGAUAUGGUGGAGAUGGUCAUUUAUACUUGGGAGACAGUCUAUUGAAAGUAGUGUGUAUUUUUUCAUGUCUAGGAAAGUCCUGUCAACAAGGCGAUAAAAGCUUAAGGAGUCUGGUUUUAAGUGGGACCGUUGUGACCCCUCCAUUCUCCUAGGAACUUUCCUGGUGCAUUUAUUCAUGCGAAAUAAAUAUCAUAGAGGCUAUUUUUCAAGUGUAAAUAGUUGUUGAAGAAACUGAUCAUUUGAGAUAAAAAUGAUGGCAGAGGCAUCGUCGUCGUCGUCGUCUUCAUCAGCAAGGACUACUGUGACUAAUGCAAAGUUUGAAGUGGAGAAAUUCAAUGAUACCAAUAAUUUUGGUAUGUGGCAAUGUGAGGUGUUGGAUGUCUUAUGUCAGUAAGAGUUGGACGUUACUCUUAAAGAAAAGCCUGACAUAAUGGAUGACAAGGAGUGGAUAAAGAUCAAUAAACAGGUAUGUGGUACUAUUCGCCUAUGUUUGGCUAAAGAUCAUAAAUACUUUGUUAUAAAGGAGACAUCGGCAAAGAAAUUGUAGGAGACAUUGGAAGAAAAAUAUAUGAAGAAAAGUAUAUAAAGAAAAGCCUUAAAAAUAAGCUUUAUAUGAAGAAGAAACUUUAUCUAUUCACAUAUACACCUGGCAUGUCGAUGAAUGACCAUGUAAAUUCAUUCAACAAAAUAUUGGCAGAUUCACUAAAUUUGGAUGAGAAAUUUGAAGAUGAAGAUAAGACACUGUUGUUUUUUAAUUCCCUUCCUGAUGAAUAUGAUCAUCUCACUACCAAUUUGCUUCAUGGGAAGGGCAGUGUCACAUUCGAUGUUGUAUGCAGUGCAUUGUAUAACUCUAAGAUCAGAAAGAAAGAUAGAAAAGAUCACAGAGAUACAGUUGUAGAAGCAUUAACAACUAAAAGUCGUUCACAAGGCUGUAAACUUGGAAAAAGAAGCAAGUCUAAAGGGAGACCUGCCAAAGAUGAGUGUGUUUUUUGUCGCGAGAAAGGACAUUGGAAAAAGAAUUAUCCUAAGUUACAAAAGGAUAAGGCUUCUUCUUAUGCAUGUGUAGCAGAGUAUGAUGAGGAGUCAGACUUUAGUCUGGUUGGCAUGACGUUGACAUGUUACUUAGAUGAGUGGUUUUUGUAUUCGAGUUGUGCUUAUCAUAUGUGUCCUAACAAGGGUUGGUUUUCUAACUUCAAGGAGCUGGACGGUGGAAUUGUUUUUAUGGGCAAUGACAAUGCCUGUAAAACCUUGGAAAUAGGUACAAUUCAAUUAAAAAAUCGUGACGGUUCAAUCAAAGUCUUGACGGAUGUUCACUACAUACCAAGUUUAAAGAAAAAUCUCAUCUCAUUAGGAGUCCUAGAAUCUAAAGGGCUCACAAUCACUCUGAGAGAUAGAUUAUUAAAGGUAGUAGCUGGCACACUAACGGUGAUGAAAGACACAAGAAGAAAUAACUUGUACUAUUUUCAAUGGAAUACAAUUAUUAGAUCAGCAUCAACAGUUUUUGGAAGAGAUGCAGAUUCAGAAGCAACCAAGUUGUGGCAUAUGCGUUUGGGACAUGCUGGUGAAAAAUCUUUACAGACUCUAGUGAAGCAAGGCUUAUUGAAAGGUGCAAAUUCUUACAAAUUAGAAUUUUGUGAACAUUGUGUUUUAGGCAAGCAGACAAUGGUAAUGUUUAGUUCAAUAAUUCACGAUACAAACUUCCUCGGGGGAGCAUUAAAACCUUCGAGCAGAUGUGCCAGGAAUUUGCAGAGCAGUUUCGUGGGGCAAUGGCACCAGAAGAUGCCAUGAUGGAAUUGAAAAACAUGAAGCAGGGGGAAUAAUAAACACUUCGGGAAUUCAUCAAGAGGUUUUACCAUGUUGUCCUUGAUUUGGGAGCCUUCAACCAUCCUCAGGCAUUAAGGGGACUGAAAGAAUGGGUGAAGAUAGGAAGACUGUGGUACAACUUGAGAAGCCCAGUUAUUCAGACGUACGCCGCCGCAUACAAGCAGGCUAAGAGGGACAUUGAGAUUGAAGUGGAAAAGGCAGCACGGAUCAAGACAGACCAGUUAGAUGGGUUGGGGAAGAAAGAGAAGAAAGCAUUGCCAGGGAACGGGCCGAUCAGGAGGAGAGACCUUCAGGCCUCAAGUAGUGGAGCAGGAGAUCGGGUAACUACUGGCCAUCCUCAUCAGAGGCCACCACAGUAUCGGCGCAGCAGGGCGCAACCUCCUCGUUCCCCAGCUAGGGAGCCUUGGAGAAGCCAUGACUCGGCAUAUGGUGGUCUUCAUCAACACUCCCACGGUAGUAGGGGGCAGACCAGAAGUGCUGCCACCGCCUCCAACUCAGAACGGAGCAAAUAGAGAAAAAGCAGUGCACCUGAUCGACCAGAACCAGGACUAUGGGCAGUACACUUCCUUAAAGAUGUUCCUGGACGAGGUGUACGAGGCCAUAAAGGAUCGAGGGUUGCUAUACCUCCCUGCCUCAAUAACAAAACUACCCAGCAGGAGGGAUAAGGGACGCUAUUGUAAGUUCUAUGGCGCGCAUGGCCGUACUACAACAGAAUGUAGAGAUCUAAAGACCCAGGUCGAAGAUUUGGUGAGAAAUCGAUACCUGGACGAGUUUAUAGAGGGGACUUUCCCGAUGGUGGCCUCGACAUGCGAGGGGGAGCAGAGUGGCAGAAAUUUGAGGCACGAGUAGCCUACAGUAAGGGUGAUUGCUGGGGGCCCGACAUUGGCUGGAGAUUCCAACAGAUCUAGGAAGAACUAUGCUAGAUACGCCAUGACUAGUAAAGAGGUAUUCUUCAACACCCCGGCAGCCAAACGAGCAAGAGUCAGGCAAGUGCCAAUCAUGUGGACAGACGAGGAUGAAAAAGGGAUUUUAUACCCACACGAGGAUGCCUUAGUCAUCAAGGCCACUGUUGCUAGCAGGAAGUUUGACCGGAUACUAGUCGAUAUAGGAAGCUCGGUUGAUGUGUUGUUCAAGUCCACUCUAGAGGAGAUGAGAAUAGCAGACCUGAGGUUGGAGCACACCAACACCUCCUUGAAGGGAUUUGGAGGAGGAAAGCUGGUCCCCCUGGGUGUGGUCGAGCUGCCUAUCACAAUCGGAAGCUCCCCGACAGAAAGGACUAUGAUACUAGAUUUUGUGGUGGUUGAUGAAGAGGGUCCUUACCAGAUAAUCCUAGGUCGGCUGUUUCUGAGGAUGAGUAAAGCAGUACUGUCCAACCAUUAUCUUGCUCUCAAGUACCGGGUGAAUGGGGUAGUUGGAGUGGUACGAGGAGACCAGAGAAUCGCACGAAGCUGUUACUCCUCGGCAGCAAAGGAAUCGAUACAGAUAACAUCCCUUGAUACCCGAGUGAAAGCCAGGAAUGGCAACUUAUUGGACUCGGAGUUUACAAGCUGGUUCGCAAGGACGGCCACGAGGUGAAAUGCCCAUGGAACGCAGCACACCUCCGAAAAUACUUCCAGUAAGACUUGUUCACAUUUGAAAGCUAUUUCUGCUCGUGUUCAUUAUCGUUUAUCUUUUAUGUUUUAUAUCCAAACAAUUUCAUGUAAGUCGAAUCCUGCCAUUAAUGGAACGUCGAGGAAUUUCAUUCGCUUGAAACUGUGAAAAUUUCCUAAGGCAUGCAAAGGCUCGUCAAGUCUCAAAGCCUGUUUAUGGCGAGACCAGAAGCCAAGCGUGCCAGGAUCUGCUCGGCCACGAGAAGGCGAGCAGAAUCCCAAGCUUUGAAGAAAUUACCUAAGGCAUGCAAAGGCUCGACAAAGUCUCAAAGCCUGUUUAUGGCGAGACCAGAAGCCAAGCGUGCCAGGAUGUGCUCGGCCACGAGAAGGCGAGCAGAAUCCCAAGCGUUGAAGAAAUUACCUAAGGCAUGCAAAGGCUCGUCAAGUCUCAAAGCCUGUUUAUGGCGAGACCAGAAGCCAAGCGUGCCAGGAUCUGUUCGGCCACGAGAAGGCGAGCAGAAUCCCAAGCGUUGAAGAAAUUACCUAAGGCAUGCAAAGGCUCGUCAAGUCUCAAAGCCUGUUUAUGGCGAGACCAGAAGCCAAGCGUGCCAGGAUCUGUUCGGCCACGAGAAGGCGAGCAGAAUCCCAAGCUUUGAAGAAAUUGCCUAAGGCAUGCAAAGGCUCGACAAAGUCUCAAAGCCUGUUUAUGGUGAGACCAGAAGCCAAGCGUGCCAGGAUCUGCUCGGCCACGAGAAGGCGAGCAGAAUCCCAAGCUUUGAAGAAAUUAUCUAAGGCAUGCAAAGGCUCGACAAAGUCUCAAAGCCUGUUUAUGGCGAGACCAGAAGCCAAGCGUGCCAGGAUCUGCUCGGCCACGAGAAGGCGAGCCGAAUCCCAAGCUUUGAAGAAAUUGCCUAAGGCAUGCAAAGGCUCGACAAAGUCUCAAAGCCUGUUUAUGGCGAGACCAGAAGCCAAGCGUGCUAGGAUGUGCUCGGCCACGAGAAGGCGAGCAGAAUCCCAAGCUUUGAAGAAAUUACCUUAGGCAUGCAAGGGCUCGACCAAGUCUCAAAGCCUGUUUAUGGCGAGAUCAGAAGCCAAGCGUGUCAGGAUCUGCUCGACCACGAGAAGGAGAACAGAAUCCCAAUCAUUGCAGAGAUUACCUAAGGCAUGCAAAGGCUCAUCAAGUCUCAAAGCCUGUUUUAUGGCGAGACAGAAGCCAAGCGUGCCAGGAUCUGCUCAACCACGAAAAGGUGAGCAGAAUCCCAAUCCUUGAAGAAUUGAAGGCAUGCAAAGGCUCGUCAAGUCUCAAAACCUGUUUAUGGCGAGACCAGAAGCCAAGCGUGCCAGGAUCUACUCGACCACGAGAAGGCGAGCAGACUCCAAAGCAUUCGAAAAAAUUCCUAAGGCAUGCAAAGACUCACCAAGUCUCAAAGCCUGUUUUAUGGCGAGACAGAAGCCAAGCGUGCCAGGAUGUGCUCGACCACGAGAAGGCGAGCAGACUCCGAAGCAUUCGAAAAAAAUUCCUAAGGCAUGCAAAGGCUCACCAAGUCUUAAAGCCUAUUUUAUGGCGAGACAGAAGCCAAGCGUGCCAGGAUCUGCUCAACCACGAGAAGGCGAGCAGACUCCGAAGCAUUCGAAAAAAUUCCUAAGGCAUGCAAAGGCUCACCAAGUCUCAAAGCCUGUUUUAUGGCGAGACAGAAGCCAAGCGUACCAGGAUCUGCUCGACAACUAGAAGGCGAGCAGACUCCGAAGCAUUUGAAAAAAUUCCUAAGGCAUGCAAAGGCUCACCAAGUCUCAAAGCCUGUUUUAUGGCGAGACUAGGAGCCAAGCAUGCUAGGGUCUGCUCGACCACGCGAAGGCGAGCAGAAUCCCAAGCAUUGAAGAAUUUUCAAAGGCAUGUGGCAAAACCAUGUGCCAAGCCAGAACCUGCUCGACCAGACAAAGACGAGCCGAUUCUCAAACGAAAAAUAACUCAUGAUUACGACACAAGAAAGUAAUCAAAAAUAUUUUUAUUAAUUUGUUAAUAAUUAACAGAGGAGAUAAUCUUCACAAACAUUGUUCAUUACAAUACAAGAAACAUAUUUAAGAAGAUGGUGGGUCCGCAAGCCGAGCAUCCUCAGUUAGAUGGUCCACCUCAGGUGCUGGGGGAGUAUCUCCAGUUGCGUCUGGGGGGGUACUCGCCUCACCAGCAUCAGCAGGGAUUACACGGGGAGGAGAGUUUUCCUCUUCUAUCACCAUUGGUGCCACCUCUUCGGCAUCCUCCUUUGCAGCCUCCUCGUCCAUAUGUUGGGCGACACCAGCUGCAAGGUCGUCCAUCUUUAGAUCAGGAUGCUGCUUCCCGAGGACGGCCAUGAUGCAACGAUAAGAAUGCCGAAGUCCCUGGUCGUACUGGUUGUCGGCCUCCUUCUCCAAGUUCUCGACCUGACCUCGGUGGGAAUCGCGGAGGGAUUCGAGCUGAGCCUCAUACAUAGCCUUCUGCCUUUGAAGAUCCUCCUUGACCUUGGCCAGCUCUUCCUCGAGAGUAAUAGCCUUGGCUUGAGCAAGAGAUUCUCGCUCAAUCAACUUCAGAUUCUCGAGGUUUAAGUCCCCUGCUUUCUUCUCAGCAACAUCAGCUCUGGUCGUCGCCGACUGAAUGUCCUCCUUCAUCUUCCUAUCAUAACGGCCAACCUUGGCCUUAUAGUAGGUGGUCAUGCAGCUGAGAUGGAAAGCGCUAUACUGCAUGGCCCCCACCAGCUCGCCUAAGGUGUAGCCAUCAAAGUCCUCGAGGUCCUUCUUGCUCACGAUUUUGGAAAGCUCGUUGAGAUAGGGGGCCAAGUGUUCUGCUCGGCUGUCAGGUAAACGAGAUCUAUGCCCGACAAGAGGCGAAGAGGAAGCAGGAUCAGUGGCUGCUCCACUGGUCUCGUCGAGUUUGGCAGAAAGAAGAGGUAAAGUCUUCAAGGGAGAGACCUGCUGCACGAUGUUGGCCCGCUUUGCAGUAGGGGCAUCCUUGUUCUGGUCCCUCUUCGUGGUUUGGGGUCGAGAACGUUUCCUGUUUAGAGCCCCAAUCACGGCGUCCUCCAUCUUAUGACCAGGGAGUAUCAAGCGAGACUCGAGCAAGUUGUAUGUAGUUAUCAGCUCCCGGCUCGAGCAGGAAUUGGCUAGCACAGCCUCGACCCGUUUGAGCUGGCCAGGUUUGAGCGAGAAAUGAACACCCCAAGAAACUACAACACAAACAGACACUUGGUUAGAGACAAACCAACAAAGCGAGAACAAUUACGGAUACAAGACAUCUAAAGCGAACAGGCAACCUGGGACCGUGAAACGGGGUGGAACGCGAUAAUCCUUCCCGUCUAUUUGUGCAACUUGACCCCAAGGACCCCCAGCAAAAAAGAAUUUCCUCUUCUAAUUCCCACCACCACCAGUAGGGAGGUCGGUUAUGGGUUUCCUGGUCUUGGUACUAGAUUGAAAGUAGUACCAGCCGGCAUCUUUGGGGCUGCUCUUUAGCUGGUACAGGUGCUUCACCUCAUCAACUGUGGACUCGCUUUGGCAACAUCUGUCCCACAAUAUGAACAGACCAGAAAGUACUCUCCAACCAUUUGGGUUCAGCUGACCAGGAGAUAGAUUCAGCCCGUUAAGUAUCCGGGCAAAGUAAGGUUGCACGGGACACCUCAGCCCAUACUUAAAACUAUCCAGAUACAGGGUAACGUAUCCCCUAGGAGGCCGGCUAGGAGUAUCCUUCUUUCCUGGGACCUUAAGAGGGAUUUCACCAGGAAUACUAUACCUAAGCCGGAGGUCAUUGAGCUCAUCAAACGUGGUUAUGCAUGUCAUGUAAUCAAUAGCGUAAUCCCGCGAUAGGGCUCUACCUCCUAUUGUACUCCGCCCUUCUGGUCGCGACGCUCCUGAUGGGGACACCUCGCCAGAAUCAUCUCCUCGGCCCUCACUCAGGGUGUUCUCCGAGCCAGAAGACCCCUCUUCAUCACUAUCUCUGCUCGAGGAGGUCGUUUACGGAGACAUCCUCCUAGCGCUAGUGCCGACACUAGAUCUAAUGGGCUCUAAGGGGAUCCCGGGGUCAAAAGCAGGAUCAGUGAGCAGACUAGGCAGGAAGUCCAACUCAUCGUCGUCAACCUCAAUGACCUUCUCUUUACCUUUCGACAUUCCCUAAACUCUAACCACAACACCACCACCAACUACUACCCGAACAAAAGAGAACAAAAAUUAUCUACAACUAUCCGAGACCAAGGAGAUAGAAGAAAUACCUGAAGUAAUGGUUCAGUCGGUGAAAGACAGAGAUGGAGGCCUUUAUGCCGGAACUUCUUUGCCGGAGAGACAGGGACGGAGACAGAGGGAAUGAUGAAUUUGCUGUUUGAAAGGAUUUAGGUUUCCUAAUGGGGACGGCCUCUUGGGUUGCCAGCAUUUAACGGCACCAAAUCCCAAGGGCCUCGUAACCGUUGGUUUGAAAUUCGAAUAGAGGGGCAGAUUUCUGCCACAUCACCUCGUCCGCAAUUAAAUGCGAUAUGACUCUUGGCAGCCUUUUCCAGUCCCACGCGACCAAGAACCGCUAAGUUUCUACUGCUGGUCCAUUACAUUACCCAACACCAGAAACUGGGGGACCGGUGUUUGAGGGAAAUACUCUGACGAGACCAGACGUGAUGAGCAGAUGUUUGGUGGUAGAAGUCUGCGAGCAGGUGUGUCCUGUAAGAGCCAGGUAGCAGGGGAACAGGGGCAGGAAUAUCCUGCUCAUCCACGAGCACGUCAUCCGCGAGGCCAAUUUCCUGUAAGAAGCAUAAAGCCAUUCCUGCUGUAUUCUUGCUAAGGGUUGAUUCGAGGAGACCCGGUCAACGACAGUUGGCGAGGCAUGCUCUCCAGCCCGAGAAUCUAGGCACGAAGGCCACGCAACCACCCACGACUACGGAAAUGGGGAAUCCACGUUCGAGAGGUGGGAGGAUAACGGACGUAGACUGCGGAAAACUGGGAUUCAGAGGAAGCCUAUAAAAAUGUAGCCAACGAAGGUAAAAUGGUUAGCAAUUUUGAGAUUAGAAGGGAGAUAAAGAAAUUCUAAAGAAGAGAAAACUACCCAAAAGCCAUAAGAUCUGUGGCAAGCGUUCCCCGAACCUUCAUAUCUGACUUGAGCGUCGGAGGGUUUGCGUCGGGAAAACAACCGGCGUACUCUGACUUGUCUGUGUGCGCAGGAACCUCUGGAGAAGAAGCUUUACGAGGAGAGAUCCUGGUCGUGGUGAAGUUGAUCGAGCAGAGACCCUGGUCGUAGAACGAGGAGAACCAGAAUCUCGCAUCAACAAAACGUGUAUUUCAACCUGAGUACUAGCGAUUACCAGUGACUGAUUAACACUUGUUUUAAUUGUAUUCAGCAGUCAUAAAAAUUUACUUUUUCUUGUUAUUUAUUUAUACCACACAUUUUGACUACCACAAACUUAAGUUGCUUGGCUGACGUAUUUACCACAAAUAAAAACUAACAUUCGAGGUUUUUCUUUCGACAUUUCUAUAGAUGUUUUAACAUUUUAGAUUACAAUAUUUUUCAAAACUUGAUUUAGUCACUGAUUGUUGACUACGACGACGACAAAAAAUCUAUUUCGUUGUGAAAAGGAAUCCACAAGAGUACAAGACGGAGCCUUGAUCCAGUAAUAUUACGGAAAAUGGUAUUUUGUUUCCUUACAAAUGAAGAGAGGUUCUGUCUUUGCAGUGGGUAAGGUGAGGGUAUAGAACAUAUUAAUGGCUUUACUUAUCAUCAUCAACUUCCUUCUGUGUCUCUCAAUCUUUGUCUUCUUCUUUGUUUUGCAAAGGAACAUAACCUCAAGAAAUAAUACUAAAUUACCACCAGGCCUCCGGGGCCUUCCUUUCAUCGGUAACGUGCACCAGCUUGAUGUCUCAAAGCCUCACGUGUUAUUUUGGGAACUGUCAAAAAAAUAUGGCCCCCUCAUGUCCUUGCGUCUUGGGUUUUCGCCAUCCUUAGUAGUUUCCUCGGCGAAAAUGGCUAAAGAGAUAUUACAAACCCAUGACCUUCAAUUUUGCAGCAGGCCAGCCUUGGUAGCACAACAAAAGUUAUCUUACAAUGGUCUUGAUUUAGCGUUUUCACCCUAUGAUGAAUAGUGGAGAGAGAUAAGAAAAAUUUGUGUCAUUCAUCUCUUUAACUCUAAUAGGGUACAAAAUUUUCGACCCAUUAGAGAAGAUGAAGUUUCAAGAAUGAUUGAAAAGAUUUCAAAAUCAGUUGGUGCUUCUAAUCCCGUAAACUUAAGUGAGGUAAUGAUGUCUCUUACCAGCACCAUUAUUUGUAGAAUUGGUUUUGGCAAGAGGUACGAUGAAGAUAAAGCAACAAGUGGAAGAAGUAGAUUCCAUGCCCUGCUUAAUGAAACUCAAGCCUUGUUUGUAAGCUUUUUUGUUACAGAUUAUUUUCCUUUCAUGGACUGGAUUGAUAACCUCAGAGGAAUGAUGAAACGCCUGCAAAAUAACUUCCAAGAACUCGAUGGAUUCUACCGGGAACUCAUCGACGAGCAUUUGGAUCCAAACAGAACUAAAUCAGAAUUGCCGCAACAGGAGGAUAUAAUUGAUAUUUUACUUCAAAUAAGAAAAGAUCGUGGAUUUAAAGCUGACUUGACUUUGGAUCACAUCAAAGCAGUGCUCAUGGUGAAUAAUUUUAUAAAUAGUUAUAUGUAGACCGGUGCUUAGGCACAGACUCAAAAUUUUGCGCAGAUACCCAAUUUUACAGUCUUGUAAAAUGUUUUAUAGUGCUGUCAAGUGCUCUCUGAUGUCCCCAUCUGAGCACGAUUAACUUAAUAUAGUUUUAUUUGCUUUAACUAAUCUUAUAUGUAUAUAUUUAUGUUCUUUUUUUUUUAAUUUGCUUUUUUAAGUAAUUUAAUAUGUAUAUAUGUAUGUUGUUUGUUUGGCAGAACG
rnacentral:lncRNA from 1 species